GAUGAACGCUGGCGGCGUGCUUAACACAUGCAAGUCGAACGAUGAAGCCCAGCUUGCUGGGUGGAUUAGUGGCGAACGGGUGAGUAACACGUGAGUAACCUGCCCCUAACUCUGGGAUAAGCCUGGGAAACUGGGUCUAAUACCGGAUAGGAGCGUCCACCGCAUGGUGGGUGUUGGAAAGAUUUAUCGGUUUUGGAUGGACUCGCGGCCUAUCAGCUUGUUGGUGAGGUAAUGGCUCACCAAGGCGACGACGGGUAGCCGGCCUGAGAGGGUGACCGGCCACACUGGGACUGAGACACGGCCCAGACUCCUACGGGAGGCAGCAGUGGGGAAUAUUGCACAAUGGGCGAAAGCCUGAUGCAGCGACGCCGCGUGAGGGAUGACGGCCUUCGGGUUGUAAACCUCUUUCAGUAGGGAAGAAGCGAAAGUGACGGUACCUGCAGAAGAAGCACCGGCUAACUACGUG
rnacentral:rRNA from 1 species